rnacentral:rRNA from 1 species
UACAGAGGUCUCGAGCGUUAGGCGGAAUCACUGGGCUUAAAGCGUGUGUAGGCGGAUCGGUAAGUACCUUGUGAAAUCCCACGGCUCAACCGUGGAACUGCUUGGUAUACUGCUUAUCUUGGGCCAUCUAGGGGCUACCGGAACAAGUGGUGGAGCGGUGAAAUGCGUAGAUAUCACUUGGAACGCCAAUGGUGAAAACAGGUAGCUGGGGAUGUGCCGACGCUGAGACACGAAAGCCAGGGGAGCGAACGGG